rnacentral:rRNA from 1 species
CCUACGGGAGGCAGCAGUGGGGAAUAUUGCACAAUGGGGGGAACCCUGAUGCAGCGACGCCGCGUGGGUGAAGGAGUACUUCGGUACGUAAAGCCCUAUCAGCAGGAAAGAAAAUGACGGUACCUGACUAAGAAGCCCCGGCUAACUACGUGCCAGCAGCCGCGGUAAUACGUAGGGGGCAAGCGUUAUCCGGAUUUAUUGGGUUUAAAGGGUGCGUAGGCGGACUGUUAAGUCAGCGGUAAAAGCCCGGGGCUCAACCCCGGCGAGCCGUUGAAACUGGCUGUCUUGAGAUGUCGAGAGGUAUG